AUUUAAAUAGUUUAAUAAAAAUAUUGAUUUGUGGUGUCAAAGAUGUAGGGUAUACUUUAAAUU
rnacentral:tRNA from 1 species